AAGAAAGGAGCACAAGUGGCCGUGCAGUUAGCUUGAAACUAACGGGAGGGGGUUCGAGUCCCUCGUUUCUUA
rnacentral:tRNA from 1 species